GACGAACGCUGGCGGCGUGCUUAACACAUGCAAGUCGAACGAAGUGGCGAACGGGUGAGUAACGCGUAAUCAACCUGCCCUUCAGAGGGGGACAACAGUUGGAAACGACUGCUAAUCCCGCAUACUGAAGGAGGGGAUUGCGUCUGAUUUGCUAGUUGGGGGGGUAACGGCCCACCAAGGGGAUGAUCAGUAGGCGGUCCUGGAGGAUGAACGGCCACAUCGGGACUGAGACACGGCCCAGACUCCUACGGGAGGCCGCAGUGGGGAAACUUCCGCAAUGGACGAAAGUCUGACGGAGCAACGCCGCGUGAGUGAUGACGGCCUUCGGGUUGUAAAGCUCUGUUAAUCGGGACGCGUUACCGGAAUAGAAAGCCACGGCUAACUACGUGCCAGCAGCCGCGGUAAUUC
rnacentral:rRNA from 1 species